AGUGGAACUGCUGGGCUGUAUGAUGGAUUCAUGAUUAAUUUUAUUAAACACUGUCAAAUGCUUUUCCAAAAUGGCUGCACCAUUUUUACACACCUACCAGCAGU
rnacentral:pre_miRNA from 1 species